UACGGAGGGUGCAAGCGUUUAAUCGGAAUUACUGGGCGUAAAGCGUGCGCAGGCGGUUUGUUAAGUCCGUUGUGAAAGCCCCCGAGCUCAACUUGGGAAUUGCAGUGGAUACUGGCAGGCUGGAGUACGGUAGAGGAAGGUGGAAUUCCCGGUGUAGCAGUGAAAUGCGUAGAUAUCGGGAGGAACACCAGUGGCGAAGGCGGCCUUCUGGACCAGUACUGACGCUGAGGUGCGAAAGCGUGGGGGAGCAAACAGGGAU
rnacentral:rRNA from 1 species